rnacentral:rRNA from 1 species
CCUACGGGUGGCUGCAGUGGGGAAUAUUGGGCAAUGGGCGCAAGCCUGACCCAGCAACGCCGCGUGAAGGAAGAAGGCUUUCGGGUUGUAAACUUCUUUUUACAGGGAAGAGCAGAAGACGGUACCUGUCGAAUAAGCCACGGCUAACUACUUGCCAUCAGCCGCGGUAAUACGUCGGUGGCAAGCGUUGUCCGGAUUUACUGGGUGUAAAGGGCGUGUAGCCGGGCUGACAAGUCAGAUGUGAAAUCCGAGGGCUCAACCCCCGAACUGCAUUUGAAACUGUUGGUCUUGAGUAUCGUAGAGGUAGGCGGAAUUCCUGGUGUAGCGGUGAAAGGCGUAGAUAUUAGGAGGAACACCAGGGGCGAAGGCGGCCUGCUGGACGACAACUGACGGUGAGGCGCGAAAGCGUGGGGAGCAAACAGGAUUAGAUACCCGGGUAGUC